rnacentral:rRNA from 1 species
AUGGGCUUUAUUUUUUGUUUUCCUUUCACAGGAAAAAGGCCGGGCCCAGUUGGUGGGGGGAUGAUGGAGGUGUGUAGCGGCAGGGAGCGUCGCUGGCGUGCGAGAUUUGAUGCGCAUGAAGGGCUGCAGCUGGGAGCGGCAGCAGCGGCGACUGCCCCUCCGACUGAGCUAUUCAACGCCGCAGUGGGGGCCUACCUCGACGACGACGACGAACGGGCCAGUGCCAAGGGCAAGACCGACGUGCAGUACAUCAUCCUCGACAGGGUGAUGCAGCAGCCAUCAGCAGCAUCGUCAGGAGGGGCAUGCUGGAUGAGCUCAAGAAGACCCUGGUCAGGAGGAGCAUUCAGGUAA